rnacentral:lncRNA from 1 species
UGCCAGGAGGAUUAAGCAAGUUUUGUUAAGACCCUUAAAGAAGCAGUGAGUGGCAGCAGUUACUGGCGCUGUCGGAGAUUUGUUGGAGUAAAGCGCCAUGAGGCUGCCUGGCCUGGUUGCAGGGAGGAGAGAGCCAUUAUCCAGAUCUGCAUUAAAGCCUGGACACUGGAGAGACAUGGAAGCCAGGAUGCCAGGUAUUCAGCUGAUCCCAUUUGAUCCUGCACCUCCAGCUGAGGAUGGGUGUGGCAGAUACCAGACAUUGUGGACCAGGAUGUAAGAACCCCUUUAGUCCCUGUGAAGUCAUCUCUAAUCCAGGUCAGUCCUACAUCUUCUUAAACGAGUAGAAAUGAUUGGCUGCCU